rnacentral:rRNA from 1 species
UACAGAGGUCUCAAGCGUUGUUCGGAUUCAUUGGGCGUAAAGGGUGCGUAGGCUGCGAGGUAAGUCUGGUGUGAAAUCCCCGGGGCUCAACCCCGGAACUGCACUGGAUACUGCUUUGCUAGAGUACUGGAGAGGGAACUGGAAUUUACGGUGUAGCAGUGAAAUGCGUAGAUAUCGUAAGGAAGACCAGCGGCGAAGGCGAGUUCCUGGACAGUUACUGACGCUGAGGCACGAAGGCCAGGGGAGCAAACGGG